CGUCGAAACAACCUGGCAUACCGGAACGUCGAGCGGAAGAUCGAUAGUAGCCGUCCGGCGAAGAUCAUGACGAAAAAGAAGAAGGAAUCUCUGAAAAAGCUGUUCGACAACAAAGACGAUACGAAACCCUCAAGCAGGAGGGCAUCGUCCGGUGAUUGCAGAGGUGAUUUGAGUUGAUUGUGUAAUUAUAGAGCAGUUAUUCCCGCACGUUGAGAACGGGAGACUGCAGGUUACGUUUCAGGAAGAUCAUCACAAGGGAAAGUAGUAAUCACAAGGGAGACCCAAUUUCAGAACGGGAGACUGCAGGUUACGUUUCAGGAAGAUCAAUUAAGUCAUUUUGUCCAUCGCCGAAUCGAUAAACUCCAUGGUUCAAGAUCCAGAAACCAAUGUACCAUACAUCAUCUGACUACCGCAGCCGCGUUUUACUGUGGGAACAAAAUGCUGAACCUGGAGCACCGAUACUGGUUUCCUCCACACCAUCUGUCUUCCAUCCGAUACAAGGAGAUUGGUUUUCGGCUCAUCCGUAUCAAAGACCUUUGAUUGAGCGAGAGAUAAACACAUAUUGGGCCCUAUUAUAGAAAUCGAGGUGAUAAGAACUUUGCUCGUUAGCUCUGUUUUACUAUUAUAGAAAUCGAGCAAUUCGAUAGCACCGAGCGAGUGAUAGCUAUCGAUGCAAGUGUCAGAAUUUUUCGAGUUGCUUGGUUCGCUUGUUGCAUAUCUUCAGAGAAUUAUUUUGUUUUGGUUUGCGUCCCUGAUAUUUCCCUUUGGGAAACAUUUCAGAAACGCUUAGAUAUAUGCAAUUUUCAACACAUGUUCGUUUGUUUUGAUCAGUAUUUGUUUUACGGUGCUGCCAGAAUAGGCUAUAUAAGCGUAUAUUUCAGUGGUUGAAAACGAAUGGACAGACAAAUCACCAGCAGUUUGAACGACUGGUUGAACCAAUAAAAGCGAAUGUAAACAUUGCUCGAGGUUUUUGUGGAGGCAGUCCAAAUAGAAUAGGAGAAGUGGGAGAAAUUCAGUGAGGAGCUUAAUGCACUGAGACCAUCAAUGCGUGUUGGUUCAGAAUGGCAGAAAGUA